AUUGAACGCUGGCGGCAUGCCUUACACAUGCAAGUCGAACGGCAGCACGGGGGCAACCCUGGUGGCGAGUGGCGAACGGGUGAGUAAUAUAUCGGAACGUACCCUGGAGUGGGGGGAUAACGUAGCGAAAGUUACGCUAAUACCGCAUACGAUCUAAGGAUGAAAGUGGGGGAUCGCAAGACCUCAUGCUCCUGGAGCGGCCGAUAUCUGAUUAGCUAGUUGGUGGGGUAAAGGCCUACCAAGGCAUCGAUCAGUAGCUGGUCUGAGAGGACGACCAGCCACACUGGGACUGAGACACGGCCCAGACUCCUACGGGAGGCAGCAGUGGGGAAUUUUGGACAAUGGGGGGCAACCCUGAUCCAGCCAUGCCGCGUGCGGGAAGAAGGCCU
rnacentral:rRNA from 1 species